CAACGCCAGAACAGAUGGUGGCAGUAGUGUGCGGAUUGUGUGUGGCAGCCGGAAACAACGAGCUUGCCGAGUUCUUUGAAUGAAUACAUAUCCGCGGACACUCUGAAGGCGGCAUUCAAGAUGUUUGUAGGGUCCUCACCUCAGCUACCUCUCACAAGGUGCCCCUGAAAAAGAAAUUCAAGACGUUUGGGUCCUCAGCUCAACUGACCAAGACCUUUGCUCAUUGAAGGCAUGAAGUAAUUUGUGAUGCCCCCACGAUUGCAGUUUUUAAAUCCAGAUGGCUUGCUCUUUUUAACAUGUGCGAGAGCUGGAUGGUCUUUCAACAACACUGCUCCGGGUCUUCAGCAAGAAAGGUGCUUCUCAUGCAAGGAAGAUACAGAGGAUCCUGGUGCCCAUGACUCAGACUGACAACAUUGAUGUGAAGAGGGAGUGCAUGCUGAGGAGCUGACGGUCUACCUGAAUGAAGAGCCAGACAAAGUGGAUGUUGAUCUGGACGGUCCAGCUGAAACGUAUUGUCUUCGUGUGCGUGUGAUCGGCAGAGAGUCCUCAACGACAUUGGUAACGUACCUGUGGCCAUUGCAGUGUUUGUUUUGGUUUAUGCUCUUAAUCUCUGUUACCUUCCAGAAUGGAAGUACACUUUCAAAUUUCUGUUUCAUUCUAACCGUCUGUUUCAUCAGUUUUUG